rnacentral:rRNA from 1 species
CGAGUGAAGCGGCACAGCUCAAAUUUGAAAUCUGGCCUCUUUGGGGUCCGAGUUGUAAUUUGUAGAGGAUGUUUCGGGCACCGCUCCGGUUUAAAUUUCUUGGAACAGAAUGUCAAAGAGGGUGAGAACCCCGUCUUGGACCGGCAGUAGGGCCCAUGUGAAACUCCUUCGACGAGUCGAGUUGUUUGGGAAUGCAGCUCAAAAUGGGUGGUAAAUUUCAUCUAAAGCUAAAUAUUGGCCAGAGACCGAUAGCGCACAAGUAGAGUGAUCGAAAGAUGAAAAGCACUUUGAAAAGAGAGUUAAACAGUACGUGAAAUUGUUGAAAGGGAAGCGCUUGCAACCAGACUUGCGCGCGGCGGUUCCCCCUUCCUUUUGGUUGGGUUAUUCCGCCGUGUCCAGGCCAACAUCGGUUCUGGGGGUCGGUUAAAGGCCUGGGGAAU